AGGAUUUAUAAGAGUUCUCCAAAUGUAAUUUAUGUAUUUGAUUUAAGUUCUUUCAUUUUUCCAAAAUCCAAUUUACACAAUAUUCUUUGGAAACAAAUCCUGCAUGUUUGAUCUAGAAAGUCCAUCUGUGUUCCUCAGUUUCAAAUAAAGGAAUCAAUGCCCAUACAGGUCUAGAGGGUUGGUGGUUUGCCUGAGGUUGCCUUGGGUUAUAACCAAUGGGCAGUGUACUAAGAAAAAGCAAUAUUAUAUUCAGAAAAAAAUUGCAGAGGGGCGCCUGGGUGGCUCAGUGGUUGAGCGUCUGCCUUUGGCUCAGGGUGUGGUCCCAGAGUCCCAGAAUGGAGUACCACAUCAGGCUCCUCUUGGGGGGCCUGCUUCUCCCUCGGCCUGUGUCUCUGCCUCUUUCUCUGGGUCUCUCAUGAAUAAAUAAAUAAAAUCUUUUUAAAAAAUUACAGAGAUGUUAUAUUUAGUGCAUAUGCUUAAUCCAUGAAUUCCUCUUGCAAAUAAUUUACUAGAGUUGACAGACACAAGCACAACCUGUACAGUUCGCAUAAAAGGCCAGUACUGAAUAGAUGCUCGUUGAUAAAAAGAAGUGAAAAGUUGGGAGCUGAGAGGGAAGUGUUAGUUUGUAGAAUAGCCUAGAGUUUUCCCAAACCAGUUUAACUUAUAAGCAGAACAUGACAAGACUGGUGGGGGAAAAUGCCUACCAAGGGGGAAUAACUGUUGUUAACAUUUAAGACUAAUCAUUCAUUCAUUCAUUCAUUCAUUCAUUUAUAAGAUUUAUUCACUUAUUUGAGAGAGAGUGUGUGGGUGAGCAGGGCUCGGGUGUGAAGGGGGAGAGAGGGGCAAAGGGAGAGAACCCCCAGGCAGACUCUCCACUGAGAGAGUGAGUGUGAGCUCCACGAGCUCAGAGUGGCACACAACAGGGGGGCUUGAUCUUACCACCCAUGACCUGAGCUGAAACCAAGAGGUGGAUGCCCAAUAGACUGAGCCACCAGGCUAAUCAUUUUAAAUAUGAAACUUGGAGGAAUCUUUUCCCUCAUUUAUUAACCACUAAGCUAAAUUAGGUACAUUUUUCUUUCCAUAAAGAGUUUUAGAAAAGAUGUAAAACAAACAUAAUAAGCCUCAUCUCCAAGUAAGUAUAAAAAUAUCCCCCAAAGCUGGGCAGCCCAGUGACUCAGUGGUUUUAGCAUUGCCUUCAGCCGAGGGUGUGAUCCUGGGGUCCCAGGAUCAAGUCCCACGUCAGGUUCCCUGCAUGGAGCUUGCUUCUCCCUCUGCCUGUGUCUCUGCCUGUCUCUCUCUCUCUCUCUUGUUUCUCAUGAACAAA
rnacentral:lncRNA from 1 species